rnacentral:rRNA from 1 species
GAUGAACGCUAGCGGCAUGCCUAACACAUGCAAGUCGAGCGAAAAGUCACCUUCGGUUCACCUAUACCGGUGCACGGGGGCGUAAGGCGUACACAAUCAGCCUUUCCCUUAGGGAUAGCUCGAAGAAAUGGGGAUUAAUACCUAUUGGUAUAUAUAUGCUGCAUCGUUUUGUUCUUUAAGCAACGGCGGUGUUGGUGGAGUAUGCGUUCGAUUAGCUAGUUGGUGAGGUAACGGCUCGCCAAGGCGCCGAUAGAGAGGGGUUCGGAGGGGGAUGUCCCCCACACUGGUACUGCGAUACGGACCAGACUGCUACGGGACGGAGCAGUAAGGAAUGCUGGACGAUGGACGGAAGACUGAUCCAGCCAUGCCGGGUGCAGGAUGAAGGUGCUAGGGAUUGUACACUGCUUGUGGAAGAGAAGAAUAAGAGUUACGUGUAGUUUGAUGACGGUACCUGACGAAUAAGCAACGGCUAACUACGUG